GCCAAUGUCAUUUGGUCAGACAAGCCGUUGACACAAGGCCAAAUCGCAAUUAUGCAUGCAUGAGCACUACUUAAGCAGGAGUAACCCGGCCGGGAUUAAUCAUCCCUCUCUCUUGUAUUCAUAACUGAAGCUGGGCAGGAAGGAAUAGGAUCGUCGACCAUGAACCUGAAGCCGCUCGCACGCGCCGUGGCAAUCCUCCUCCUGCUGAUCGUAUGCUCCCUGCUGCCAUGCUCUGCCGUACUCCACAAAGGUACGUAACCUCCGUUUCUAAACAUAAGACGUUUUACUAGUUAAAUUCAAACUGUCAAAACGUCUUAUAUUUACAGAAACAGAGGGUGUGCUUUUCAAGUUUUUAUAGUUGACUAGUUUAUGUACGUUUGAUGAUUUGCGAUCGAUGGCAUCAACGCAUGCACCAUACAGUUGCUGAGAAGCCUUAUUCGGAACCGAGAGGCGACCGUGGAGGAUGGUUACCUCCAGCGCCAUGGGGUUGGAAGCCUCGACGCCGAUCUCCAUGAGCUGCCCGGAGUGCGGCCAUGACGAUGCUGCUGCUCCGCACCAAGAACCUGCAGGUCAGCAGGAACUGAAGGCGGCGCUGCGCGUACUAUUGAUUAGAUUAUGCAUGAAAUGAAACAAUCGAUGAGAGCUGAUCCAGUGACGGCUCUUUUUAUUGAUGUAGUACAAUAAAUGUUGAUGUUUGUGCACUCUUGCUACUCACUUCAUUCCGGUUUAAUUAAGUGGCUCUUGUUUUUUCUUGAAUGAGAAAUAGAUAUAUCUAUAUCUAUAUUUAUGACAAAUUUGUCUCCUAUGAUCCGGUG
rnacentral:lncRNA from 1 species